GUAUGUGAAUUGCAGAAUUCAGUGAAUCAUCGAAUCUUUGAACGCACCUUGCGCCCCUUGGUAUUCCGAGGGGCACGCCUGUUCGAGUGUCGUGA
rnacentral:rRNA from 1 species